rnacentral:rRNA from 1 species
AUUGAACGCUGGCGGCAGGCCUAACACAUGCACGUCUGGCGAGCGGCGGACGGGUGAGUAAUGUAUGGGGAUCUGCCUGAUGGCGGGGGAUAACGACUGGAAACGGUAGCUAAUACCGCCUACCACCAGAUGAACCCAUAUGGGGUUAGCGAGUAGGUGAGGUAACGGCUUACCUAGGCGGCGAUCCCUGGCUGGUCUGAGAGGAUGAUAAGCCACAAGGGGACGGAGACACGUCCCGGACGCCUACGUGAGGCAGCAGUUGGGAAAAGGAGACAAUGGGCGCAAUCUUGAUGCAGCCAUGCCGCGGGUAUGAAGAAGUCCUUGGGGUUGUAAAGGACUUUCAGUCGGGCGGAGUUACCGACAGAAGAAGCACAGGCUAACUCCGUGCCAGCAGCCGCGGUAAUAC